rnacentral:tRNA from 1 species
GGUUUGUGGCUCAGUGGUAGAGUGCUUGCCUUGCAUGCAUGAGGCACUGAGUUUGAUCCUCAGCACCA